rnacentral:rRNA from 1 species
GAACGCUGGCGGCGUGCCUAAUACCUGCAAGUCGAGCGAACAGACGAGGAGCUUGCUCCUCUGACGUUAGCGGCGGACGGGUGAGUAACACGUGGAUAACCUACCUAUAAGACUGGGAUAACUUCGGGAAACCGGAGCUAAUACCGGAUAAUAUAUUGAACCGCAUGGUUCAAUAGUGAAAGACGGUUUUGCUGUCACUUAUAGAUGGAUCCGCGCCGCAUUAGCUAGUUGGUAGGGUAACGGCUUACCAAGGCGACGAUGCGUAGCCGACCUGAGAGGGUGAUCGGCCACACUGGAACUGAGACACGGUCCAGACUCCUACGGGAGGCAGCAGUAGGGAAUCUUCCGCAAUGGGCGAAAGCCUGACGGAGCAACGCCGCGUGAGUGAUGAAGGUCUUCGGAUCGUAAAACUCUGUUAUUAGGGAAGAACAAAUGUGUAAGUAACUAUGCACGUCUUGACGGUACCUAAUCAGAAAGCCACGGCUAACUACGUG